CGGAAUAUAUAAAUAGCUCCUACAAAUCAAUACAAAUGAGGCUGAGGCGGAUGGAUCCCUGAGGUCGGGAGUUCAAGACCAGCCUGGCCAACAUGGUGAAACCUUGUAUUUACUAAAAAUACAAAAAUUAGCUGGGGGUGGUGGCAGGCACCUGUAAUCCCAGCUACUUGGGUGGCUGAGGCAGGAGAAUUGCUUGAACCCAGGAGGUGGAGGUUACAGUGAGCUGAGACUACACCAUUGCACUCCAGCCUGGGCAACAAGGGCGAAACACCUCUCUCAAAAAAUUAAAAAAAAAAAAGAGUCAGAGUCUUGCUCUGUCUUCCAGACUGGAGUGUGCUUGUACAAUCACAGCUCCCUGCAGCCUCAGUCUCCUGGGCUCAGAUCCUCCCACCUCAGCCUCCCUAGUAGCUGGGGCUACUGGUGUGCGCCACCAUGCCCAGCUAAUUUUUAAAAUUUUUUAGCAGAGAUGGAGGUCUCGCUAUGUUGCCUAGGCUAGUCUCAAGCUCCUGGGCUCAAGCCAUCUUCUCGCCUCAGCCUCUGAAAGCGUGGAGAUUACAGGCCUGAGCUACUGUGCCCAGCCUCCCUGUUACUUCUUGGAUGAAGUCCUGCCCUGUUAGUGACACUUUCCAGGCUAUGGAUGGCAGUGCCUGUCUACCCCUCCAGUCCUUCUUCCUAUCAUACCUGCCACACGGCUGCUCACAGAGAGUCCCCACCCCUGCCCCACUGCCAGGCCUCUAUCUAGCCUCUUCCUCAUUCAAGCCCAGCUGAAGGGUCAGGCUCCCUCCUCCAGGAAGGCUUCCUUGAGCUGCAAGAGAGCGCUGCCCAUCACCCUGAACUGACUCACAAUGGCUCUCUGCCACCCCAGAGCAAACCCAGGGAGGGGCCCCUGCAACCCUGCCCCACAGUAUGAGAGUCUGGACAGGGCCAGCAGCCUGCAUCCCACUGGCCUGGGCCGCUGGGGCCUUUGCAGAGAUGUCCUCAGAGAGCGUCCAGGCCUCGGGCCAUUCUGUCUUGGAGUUCCCAAGGCCCUGGAUGGAAAGAGACAAGGGAGAGUGGUCAGCCCCAGGCAGAGACCCUGCUCCAAAAUCACCUCCCCUCACCCAUGGUCCAGACCCGGGCUCCUGC
rnacentral:lncRNA from 1 species